CACGCAUGCUGAAUGGUGUACGUUUAGGUUGGAUGAACGAGCGCGUAAUGCAACCAAAACACGCUGGGUAUAAGACCCAAGGUACCCAAGUUCUUUGCACGCAUUGGAAGGAAUUCGCCUUACCGUCCCACUGGCUGUAUCCGCCGAGCAAGAAAAUGGCUGGACAGUGUACGCCCAGUUCUGCGGUGCCCGGCUUAGUGUGUUGAUAGCCAACGGGCCGUGGGCAUGUGGCCGAGGCAGAGAACCAGAGGUCCUUCAGGCAAUACCGUAGCAUUACACGUUGUGCAGCAGGAAGACAGCGAGAGUACCUGCAAGUCGAACAGUUGUCGCAGAUGCGUGCCUCUCGGAGCAACUGAUACAUCAAAGACGGCGAAUACGUAUGAGCAAGCUCUCCCAGUGUUCGUCGGAAGUGCUAGCGAACUGUUUUCGCUAGAUGUUGAUGAUCCACCAAUGCCGCCACCACCUGCGUAUUCUCACUGGCGGCCGGGUUGUGCGGCCGCUUCGGGGCUCCCAUGAAGACUGCGUUGCUGGACCACGUCGUCAGCAGUCGCCGCCUCAACCUUACAAUCUUCUUGCUGAUCUGCAACGCGGAGCCGGUGAAACACAACCAAUAUCUUAUGGGUGCUCUCUUCUGCUCGUUUUGAUGUCCGCCGCAGGCGCCGUCAUCCACUCGCGUCCGUCGCCAAGAUCCCAAAUCGCU